GGGUGGUUAGCCCAUAAAAGCCCUCGUUACACUACCUAAUUGAGUAGCCUAAGAUAAACCCAUUGCUUCCAAGCAUGAUGAAGAUUAGAGUUGAGAAAGAUAUUGACUUUGAGUGUGAAAACUCUAGAGGUUAGAAAUAAAUGAGAAAAUGGCUCCCAAAGUAGAGUAAAAAGGUAAAGAAAUAUGGUUGAUUUGAGUUGGGUCGUACUGCUAUACUUACUUAGGCG
rnacentral:lncRNA from 1 species